ensembl:snRNA RNU6-1273P RNA, U6 small nuclear 1273, pseudogene
GUGCUCACUUUGGCAGCACAUAUGCUACAACUGGAAUGAUACAGAGAUUAGCAUGGACCCUGUGCAAGGAUGACACGCAAAUUCAUGAAGCAUUCCAUAUAUAU